rnacentral:rRNA from 1 species
AAAUUGAAGAGUUUGAUCAUGGCUCAGAUUGAACGCUGGCGGCAGGCCUAACACAUGCAAGUCGAACGGUAACAGGAAGCAGCUUGCUGCUUCGCUGACGAGUGGCGGACGGGUGAGUAAUGUCUGGGAAACUGCCUGAUGGAGGGGAAUAACUACUGGAAACGGUGGCUAAUACCGCAUAACGUCGCAAGACCAAAGAGGGGGACCUUCGGGCCUCUUGCCAUCAGAUGUGCCCAGAUGGGAUUAGCUUGUUGGUGAGGUAACGGCUCACCAAGGCGACGAUCCCUAGCUGGUCUGAGAGGAUGACCAGCCACACUGGAACUGAGACACGGUCCAGACUCCUACGGGAGGCAGCAGUGGGGAAUAUUGCACAAUGGGCGCAAGCCUGAUGCAGCCAUGCCGCGUGUAUGAAGAAGGCCUUCGGGUUGUAAAGUACUUUCAGCGGGGAGGAAGGUGUUGCGGUUAAUAACCGCAGCAAUUGACGUUACCCGCAGAAGAAGCACCGGCUAACUCCGUGCCAGCAGCCGCGGUAAUACGGAGGGUGCAAGCGUUAAUCGGAAUUACUGGGCGUAAAGCGCACGCAGGCGGUCUGUCAAGUCGGAUGUGAAAUCCCCGGGCUCAACCUGGGAACUGCAUUCGAAACUGGCAGGCUUGAGUCUUGUAGAGGGGGGUAGAAUUCCAGGUGUAGCGGUGAAAUGCGUAGAGAUCUGGAGGAAUACCGGUGGCGAAGGCGGCCCCCUGGACAAAGACUGACGCUCAGGUGCGAAAGCGUGGGGAGCAAACAGGAUUAGAUACCCUGGUAGUCCACGCCGUAAACGAUGUCUACUUGGAGGUUGUGCCCUUGAGGCGUGGCUUCCGGAGCUAACGCGUUAAGUAGACCGCCUGGGGAGUACGGCCGCAAGGUUAAAACUCAAAUGAAUUGACGGGGGCCCGCACAAGCGGUGGAGCAUGUGGUUUAAUUCGAUGCAACGCGAAGAACCUUAC